CAGCCGCCGCGGGAAUACGUAGGGUGCAAGCGUUAAUCGGAAUUACUGGGCGUAAAGCGUGCGCAGGCGGUUAUAUAAGACAGAUGUGAAAUCCCCGGGCUCAACCUGGGAACUGCAUUUGUGACUGUAUAGCUAGAGUACGACAGAGGGGGAUGGAAUUCCGCGUGUAGCAGUGAAAUGCGUAGAUAUGCGGAGGAACACCGAUGGCGAAGGCAAUCCCCUGGGCCUGUACUGACGCUCAUGCACGAAAGCGUGGGGAGCAAACAGGAUUAGAUACCCGAGUAGUCCCUGUCUCUUAUAA
rnacentral:rRNA from 1 species